rnacentral:rRNA from 1 species
UACGUAGGGUGCAAGCGUUACUCGGAAUUACUGGGCGUAAAGCGUGCGCAGGCGGUUAUGCAAGACAGAGGUGAAAUCCCCGGGCUCAACCUGGGAACUGCAUCUGUGACUGCAUCGCUGGAGUGCGGCAGAGGGGGAUGGAAUUCCGCGUGUAGCAGUGAAAUGCGUAGAUAUGCGGAGGAACACCGAUGGCGAAGGCAAUCCCCUGGGCCUGCACUGACGCUCAUGCACGAAAGCGUGGGGAGCAAACAGG